CUGAUGCAGCCACGCCGCGUGCGGGAUGAAGGCCUUCGGGUUGUAAACCGCUUUCAGCAGGGACGAAGCUGACGGUACCUGCACAAGAAGGUGCGGCCAACUACGUGCCAGCAGCCGCGGUGACACGUAGGCACCAAGCGUUGUCCGGAUUUAUUGGGCGUAAGAGCUCGUAGGCUGUCCGGGCAGUCGGGUGUGAAAACUCUGGGCUCAGCCCAGAUGCGGCACCCGAUACUGCUGUGACUUGAGUACGGUAGGGGAGUGGGGAAUUCCUGGUGUAGCGGUGAGAUGAAUUGUAGCGGAGGAACGCCUGUGGGGAAGGCUCGACCUGGGCGUGAUUUACGCUGACGACGAAUUGAACGCCUCGUACCGAUUCUUGGAACCUUGAUUAUUCUGGGUUUAGGCCUAAUUCAUUUAUAGGGGGGCUCCAUACCGAAAUCGCAUUCUAAAUCUAAGACCCCCACUGCGAACCUCUCGGCAUGGGGCUCGCGUUUUGGUUUUGCGGCAAUUUCAAUGUAUGGCUUA
rnacentral:rRNA from 1 species